GAUGAACGCUGGCGGCGUGCCUAAUACAUGCAAGUCGAGCGAACAGAUGAGGAGCUUGCUCCUCUGACGUUAGCGGCGGACGGGUGAGUAACACGUGGAUAACCUACCUAUAAGACUGGGAUAACUUCGGGAAACCGGAGCUAAUACCGGAUAAUAUAUUGAACCGCAUGGUUCAAUAGUGAAAGACGGUUUUGCUGUCACUUAUAGAUGGAUCCGCGCCGCAUUAGCUAGUUGGUAAGGUAGCGGCUUACCAAGGCAACGAUGCGUAGCCGACCUGAGAGGGUGAUCGGCCACACUGGAACUGAGACACGGUCCAGACUCCUACGGGAGGCAGCAGUAGGGAAUCUGCCGCAAUGGGCGAAAGCCUGACGGAGCAACGCCGCGUGAGUGAUGAAGGUCUUCGGAUCGUAAAACUCUGUUAUUAGGGAAGAACAAAUGUGUAAGUAACUAUGCACGUCUUGACGGUACCUAAUCAGAAAGCCACGGCUAACUACGUG
rnacentral:rRNA from 1 species